rnacentral:tRNA from 1 species
GGCCUUGUAGCUCAGCUGAUACAGCGUGCGCGUACAAAUCGUAGGGGCGACGUCCAUGCGUGGGUUCAAAUCCUACUGAGGCUG